AAACGGAGAUAGGUCGUGAUUUCUGCUGAACUACAGUUGUCCUCUUCAAGCCCAUAAGCUCUGCUAACUGCUGUUGAAGAGGAGCUAAAGAGUUAUCCCUUCGAACUGAAGUAAGUGAAGACUUAUAAGCAGUGGUCAUGUGGGCAAGUAUUAUCCUUACUACAACCCUCAGAACAGAAACUAACACUUGAUGAGCAGUAUCUGACAUAUUAACUUGAAGAAAUCUACUACAGUUAAACCACAAAAGCUAAACGACUGAUGAAAGAAAACCACAACAACAAAAUUUGAACACUACACCAAGUAUUGGCAAACAACCAUCCGAAAAACCAACAAAGUAGCUGCGAAAAACUCCCGAUGUUACUUGGAAGCCGGCAGGGAAUGAAUUGAGCUCUUCGCUAGUUUGUUUCACUAAGUCCCAGAUAGUGGACAUGGCCUGCGCACCUACACAUAAACAAAAGAAGCGCCACAGCACAAAUUUUUAAUCUUUAAGCUGCCUUAGUUAGGGAACCAUAAUUAUGCAAUUACUUGGUAAAUUACUUAUAUAAAAGGCACAGAUUCCAGGACCCAGGGACACAGCAAUGACAAUUGACUUCUUUAAAAGAAAGAGGUGCAUCUGGGAUUCUGUAGACAAGAAACAGGGCUAUUGUAAAGUACUGUAAUAGGUUUGUAUAAAAGAAUAUUUUUUCUUAAGUUUUUUGGGAAAAAAUUAUUGGGUAUGGGUAACACUGAAGUAAAAAAAAAAAAUUUGAAAGAUAAUUAGAAUACAAGUACAAUAUCACAUGAAUAUCCAAAAUAUGAGCUAAAACCUUACCAUCUAAACAGGUGGACAACAUCACCAGGACAUGACUUUAAAAGGGUAGUUUUCAGCUGCUCCAAAUUGUCAGACACGGUGUGCAGUAUGUCAGUGUCUUGACAUAAAUAUGUGAGGCCUGCAAUUUCUCCUGACAAACUUCUUACUUUCUUGGCCAAAUUUUGUAUC